UACGUAUGGAGCAAGCGUUAUCCGGAUUUACUGGGUGUAAAGGGAGCGCAGGCGGUCAUGCAAGUCUGAUGUGAAAACCCGGGGCCCAACCCCGGGACUGCAUUGGAAACUGUGUGACUUGAGUGUCGGAGGGGUAAGUGGAAUUCCUAGUGUAGCGGUGAAAUGCGUAGAUAUUAGGAGGAACACCAGUGGCGAAGGCGGCUUACUGGACGACAACUGACGCUGAGGCUCGAAAGCGUGGGGAG
rnacentral:rRNA from 1 species